UUAGGUUAUGCUGGGAUCAAGCCAGACCUUUGCACGUAUUAGGUAUGCACUGUUCCACUGAACUAUACUCCCAACCCCAGGGUCCUAUUUCUUCAAGAUUCAGUGUUGGGAUGUGAUAUGAAGAGCAAGAAGAUGACAGGAUGUGAGGCACAAAUGUGGAGGCUACAAGGAUCCCUGAUUGAAGCAUCUCCUCCCACCCUCACUCCUCAGCACCAACUCUGCAUCACGGAUAACUGCAGGACCCCUCUGGGAGGGUCAGGAAUGCCUCUGAAUGAGUCAUGCUUGAAGACUAAUAGUCUAGUAGAAAAGAGGCCAAAUUAAUGUAGCUCAUUAAAGUACUUUGUCGAAUGCUAAAAUGUGCUACCAACUGAGAAUAUUUUCUCAGAUGCUGCUGAAGAAUGGGAAGAAUGCCAAAAGUCAGCCCUGCUCAAAUUAAGGGCUGAGAUGCUGCAGGCUACCCCAAGACUGGGGACAAACCAAAGAGCCCAUGUCACUCAUUGCCAUUUUUACCAUGAACUCUCAACACAGUUUUAUAGAGUUUGUGGUCCAAGACUUUAGUAGGCAACAGAGGAUCUCCUCAAUUUUUCUGCAUUUUUAUGUGUAUAUCUAUAAAUCAAAUUGAAAAUUCUGAGCAGAUGCAGGUUCUCUCUUAACCCAACUAUUUCAUGAAGCUAGCCCACUGUACACUUUCCAAACUCUGUCCUAAGUCUUCAAAUACUCAAGAACCCUCCUUAGAUGACAUAUCAA
rnacentral:lncRNA from 1 species